rnacentral:rRNA from 1 species
CUUAUGGGUGGCGAGUGGCGGACGGGUGAGGAAUACAUCGGAAUCUACUUUUUCGUGGGGGAUAACGUAGGGAAACUUACGCUAAUACCGCAUACGACCUACGGGUGAAAGCAGGGGACCUUCGGACCUUGCGCGAUUGAAUGAGCCGAUGUCGGAUUAGCUAGUUGGCGGGGUAAAGGCCCACCAAGGCGACGAUCCGUAGCUGGUCUGAGAGGAUGAUCAGCCACACUGGAACUGAGACACGGUCCAGACUCCUACGGGAGGCAGCAGUGGGGAAUAUUGGACAAUGGGCGCAAGCCUGAUCCAGCCAUACCGCGUGGGUGAAGAAGGCCUUCGGGUUGUAAAGCCCUUUUGUUGGGAAAGAAAUCCAGCCGGUUAAUACCUGGUUGGGAUGACGGUACCCAAAGAAUAAGCACCGGCUAACUUCGUGCCAGCAGCCGCGGUAAUACGAAGGGUGCAAGCGUUACUCGGAAUUACUGGGCGUAAAGCGUGCGUAGGUGGUUGUUUAAGUCUGUUGUGAAAGCCCUGGGCUCAACCUGGGAACUGCAGUGGAAACUGGACAACUAGAGUGUGGUAGAGGGUAGCGGAAUUCCCGGUGUAGCAGUGAAAUGCGUAGAGAUCGG